AGAGACACUGAGAGCAGUAUAAUAUGAGAAAAUGUCUCGACGGAGCAAGAUGUAGCGGAAAGAGUUUACAAAAUGAGGUAAGUCAAGAAAAAAAGAAUAAAAAAAAAAAAUGUAAAGUAAAAAUGUCAUAGUAUAGAAUGAUAUAAAAUUGUCAUUGUAUAGAAUGAUAUAAAAUUGUCAUUGUAUAGAAUGAUAAUAAUCAUAGUAUAGUAUGAUAUAAAAAUACCAUGGACAGCUCAAUCUGAGGGAUAAUGUAAUAUGAUAAUAAUUAUCUUUGUGCUUUUGCAAAAAUAAGAUGUGUACACAGUUGGUUUCCCACCAUGUGAACUGUCAGCAGAACAAAAUAUCUAUCCCAAAUUAUUAAAUCCACCAUCCCCCCUGAUUUUUUUAUUUUACAACUUGACUACAGUCUGAAGCAGCAUCCAGCAGUGAGGUCUCAGCGUCCUGCAGUGCACAAAUUCAACCAGAAGGCGUCAGUAUAACACAAUCUAAGUGAUUUACCAAGCGGCAGUUGCGACAAAAAAAUAAUAUUUUGGGAGCUUUUUAGGAAGAUAAAUGACAAAUAAUUAUUUAACAAGAAAAAUACAUUUAUUUAUCCUUGUAGAAAAAAACUUUUUUUGCACUUUUUCUUCAUGUGAAACUUGUGUGCCAUAUCAAACUACAAACUCUACUAACUAAAAGUAAACAGGUUUCAAUCAUAAUUAUCAGUGUAUUUUGGUCUGAUGACCACAGGGUGGCAGACUAAGUGUCCCAGACUGAGGCCAACAAGUCUGAGGAUACACCAUUGAAUAAUUUCUGUUAGUAACAGUACAUACAUCCAUAAGUUUCUAACCUUAUAUCACAAUAGCAGACAAGAGGCAGAGCAACUGUCAGCUGAUUCAUGACAUUUUGAGGUAAAUGGCAUCAGCUAGUGUCUGAAUUUAAGGAGCUGAUUAAAAAACACAUGUUUUCCCCUCUUUGAUAACAGCAGAUCAAAUCUAAAACAGCGACUGGCUACAGAUCGAUAUAAAGUCUCUUGGGAUGUGUAGAAUAAUGCAGUUUUGUAAUGCUUUUGGAAUAAAACCAAUCAUGUUAUAAUUUCUAGGCCAAAACCCAGAGCCGGCCCAAGCCUCAAUGGGGCCCUGAGCAAAAUUUGAUUUUGGGGCCCUCUAUUUCUGCCAAUAAUAUUGAUUGUUGAUCAUUCACACACCUUCACAAAUCUCAUUAACAUUCCAUGACAUGCAAACAGACCUUUAUCUUGGCGUUUUUUCUCUUCUUUUCUUUUCUCUGCUCCUGAAGGAUAUGUCCUUUUUUGCGACAUUGUUUUGCCCCACAACUACCUGCGCUUUGGAUGCUCAGUGCAAAUUACGCAGCAGGAGGCACAUAUAAGAAUCAUAGUUUUUACUUUAUUUUAUUUUAUUUGUACAAUAAUAUACAUUUGAUCCCACUGAAAGCAUCACUCAUACAUGCUUUUUUUUGAAUUGCUCUUUGGGGCCCCCUAUUGGCCGCGGGGCCCUAAUCAGGCGCUUAGUUCGCUUAUGCCUUGGGCCGGCUCUGGUAAAACCAAAUGUGUUUUGAUUAAUUAAUCAAAAGUAGGGUAGCCCAUCGUUGAUUUGCAAUUAAUUGUAAAUGAAUAUAAAAGGGGUUAAAAAGAUUUAAAGGGGGUUAAAUUCAGUAUUUUUGUUUCUCAUUUGUAAUUAUGACUGAAUUUUUGUAUACAAUCCCAACAACAAUAUGAUUCCUGCAUUAAGGAUUAUAUUGAGCUGCAGAAAAGCACAUAGUUCACACUACAGUAUGUGGGGCUCUGGUGAAUAAUAGCAACAUCUGAGCAGCAGGGGGCAGUGUGAGCACAGGUUUGUGUUACAGUAUGCAAUCGCUACUGUAAAUUAGGCCAGGGAGUCUUGGAAAGAUGUUUUCUGGAGUUGUCUCCCCCUGGGCUGAGUAAACAAGACAGCAGCUGUGCUUGAUACUAUAAAAAAACACUAAAUGGAGCCAGAGCGGUAGCAGUGAUCCGGCGUGGUGUAAUACAUUAUUGUCAUAUCAGUCAUUCAUUGUGUGGAUCUGUUGCAGGCUAAAUGACACAGAUGUUGAGUGCGGCCGACGUUGGAUGUACUUGCGGUGCUGAUGGGAGCUAAUCCAGGCUGACGAGGCGUGCAGCUCCUUAACCACCCUCCGACUCUCCUGGAGCUUUUUGGCAGCAGUCUGGGCGGUGGAGAAAUCAUUUCCCUGCUGGAGCCAGAGCUUCCAUUUUAUCAGCCAUGCUAUGAAAUUAACCCGAUAAUUGUGCUGGAUCUGCCUUUUCUCUCUAAGUGCUCAUUCAAUCUUGAGAAGAAGCAACUUUUUUGGCAGUUUGGGACUUUUAAGACAAUCAGUCUUCACAAAUGUAGGAUCUGGGUGGCAAAACCAAUGCUUUAUGUCAAGCUGGUGGAAAAAGUCUCCAGAAAACUGCAGCAUUUACCAAAUGUUACAUGAGUUUUACCGUCUCUCUUGCAGAAGCCCUCUGCAGGGAAGAGUGCUUGUCCCAGCAGCA